GAAACAGCGAACGCCGUCUGCAUCAGUCCCACUGUCCUGCAGUAGAAGAUGAUCAUACAAUCUACAGCUCUGUUGUGAACAUCUAGAUGGAUGCAGUUAUCCUGAUGCCAUGUCUCUUUCCUGGAAGAGGAGGAUAAAGAAGAUGGACACCCGCAGAACCAAAUGUUUGACAGCAGCAUGUGUGAUUAUUGCCAGUUUGUGACUGCAGCUGUUUCAGCAUCCCUGCCCUCUAUCUUCAAACCCAGAUCCAAGUUCAAAGCCAUCUAUAGGGGGAAAAACAGAAUGAGCAUGUGGUGUAUAUGAAUAUUUUGGUUGUUUUAUUUUUGUUUGUAUUUUUAAGGAGCAGAAGACUCAAGGCGGUUAAGGUGGGAAAGUAGUGUCCAACUGUUGAAGCCAGUCUCUCU
ensembl:lncRNA